UUACUACUCCCUCCGUCCCAAAAUUCUUGUCUUAGAUUUGUCCAGAUACGGAUGUAUCUAAUACUAAAACGUGACUUGAUACAUCCGUAUUUAGACAGAUCAAAGACAAGAAUUUUGGGACGGAGGGAGUACCAG
rfam:Triticum aestivum genome assembly, contig: Triticum_aestivum_CS42_TGACv1_scaffold_344303_4DL